rnacentral:misc_RNA from 1 species
AGACUCAUCCCUUCUGGUUUUUGACCUGAAGUGUGAUGGAUUUGGGCGUCUUGCCAUUAACCUGGCUCGCCUUAAUAGCUUAAGUGGUUUAUUGGGACGUAAUAAGUUUUCGUUUCUACCAGACUGCUCAUAACUCUCUCCUGCAUAAGGAGAACUCAUGAUCUGACCUCAAAUCAGGUAGGACUACCCGCUGAACUUAA